rnacentral:rRNA from 1 species
GUGCCAGCAGCCGCGGUAAUACGAAGGGGGCUAGCGUUGUUCGGAAUUACUGGGCGUAAAGCGCACGUAGGCGGACUUUUAAGUCAGGUGUGAAAUCCCGGGGCUCAACCUCGGAACUGCAUUUGAAACUGGAAGUCUAGAGACCAGGAGAGGUUAGCGGAAUACCGAGUGUAGAGGUGAAAUUCGUAGAUAUUCGGUGGAACACCAGUGGCGAAGGCGGCUAACUGGACUGGUACUGACGCUGAGGUGCGAAAGUGUGGGGAGCAAACAGGAUUAGAUACCCUGGUAGUCCACACCGUAAACGAUGAGAGCUAGUUGUUGGCAGGCAUGCCUGUCGGUGACGCAGCUAACGCAUUAAGCUCUCCGCCUGGGGAGUACGGCCGCAAGGUUAAAACUCAAAGAAAUUGACGG